rnacentral:rRNA from 1 species
CCUACGGGCGGCUGCAGUGGGGAAUAUUGCGCAAUGGGGGAAACCCUGACGCAGCAACGCCGCGUGGGUGAUGAAGGUUUUCGGAUCGUAAAACCCUGUUUUCUGGGACGAUAAUGACGGUACCAGAUGAGGAAGCCACGGCUAACUACGUGCCAGCAGCCGCGGUAAUACGUAGGUGGCAAGCGUUGUCCGGAUUUACUGGGCGUAAAGGGUGCGUAGGCGGAUGCUUAAGUGAGAUGUGAAAUACCUAGGCUUAACUUAGGGGCUGCAUUUCAAACUGGGCAUCUAGAGUACAGGAGAGGGAAACGGAAUUCCUAGUGUAGCGGUGAAAUGCGUAGAGAUUAGGAAGAACACCAGUGGCGAAGGCGGUUUCCUGGACUGUAACUGACGCUGAGGCACGAAAGCGUGGGUAGCAAACAGGAUUAGAUACCCCAGUAGUC